AUUGAACGCUGGCGGCAUGCUUUACACAUGCAAGUCGAACGGUAACAGGCCUUCGGGUGCUGACGAGUGGCGAACGGGUGAGUAAUGCAUCGGAACAUACCCAGUCGUGGGGGAUAACGUAGCGAAAGUUACGCUAAUACCGCAUACGUCCUGAGGGAGAAAGCGGGGGAUCGCAAGACCUCGCGCGAUUGGAGUGGCCGAUGUCCGAUUAGCUAGUUGGUGGGGUAAAGGCCCACCAAGGCGACGAUCUGUAGCGGGUCUGAGAGGAUGAUCCGCCACGCUGGGACUGAGACACGGCCCAGACUCCUACGGGAGGCAGCAGUGGGGAAUUUUGGACAAUGGGGGCAACCCUGAUCCAGCCAUGCCGCGUGCGGGAAGAAGGCCUUCGGGUUGUAAACCGCUUUCGGACAGAAAGAAAUCGCAUGGGCUAAUACCCUGUGUGGAUGACGGUACUGUAAGAAGAAGCACCGGCUAACUACGUGCCAGCCGCCGCCGUAAUAC
rnacentral:rRNA from 1 species